rnacentral:rRNA from 1 species
UACAGAGGUCUCAAGCGUUGUUCGGAUUCAUUGGGCGUAAAGGGUGCGUAGGCGGCGCGGUAAGUCGGGUGUGAAAUCUCGGAGCUUAACUCCGAAACUGCAUUCGAUACUGCCGGGCUAGAGUCCGGAAGAGGCGAGUGGAAUUCCUGGUGUAGCGGUGGAAUGCGCAGAUAUCAGGAGGAACACCGAUAGCGAAGGCAGCUCGCUGGGACGGUACUGACGCUGAGGCGCGAAAGCGUGGGGAGCGAACAGG